rnacentral:rRNA from 1 species
AGAGUUUGAUCCUGGCUCAGAUUGAACGCUGGCGGCAUGCCUUACACAUGCAAGUCGAACGGCAGCACGGGGGCAACCCUGGUGGCGAGUGGCGAACGGGUGAGUAAUAUAUCGGAACGUGCCCUGGAGUGGGGGAUAACUAGUCGAAAGAUUAGCUAAUACCGCAUACGAUCUACGGAUGAAAGUGGGGGACCCGCAAGGGCCUCAUGCUCCUGGAGCGGCCGAUAUCUGAUUAGCUAGUUGGUGAGGUAAAGGCUCACCAAGGCAUCGAUCAGUAGCUGGUCUGAGAGGACGACCAGCCACACUGGGACUGAGACACGGCCCAGACUCCUACGGGAGGCAGCAGUGGGGAAUUUUGGACAAUGGGCGCAAGCCUGAUCUAGCAAUGCCGCGUGAGUGAAGAAGGCCUUCGGGUUGUAAAGCUCUUUUGUCAGGGAAGAAACGGUGAGGGCGAAUACCCUUUUGCUAAUGACGGUACCUGAAGAAUAAGCACCGGCUAACUACGUGCCAGCAGCC